rnacentral:lncRNA from 13 species
CACAACUUGAUGGUAUUUGGAUACAAGAUGAGGCCCUUAUAAUGGAAUCAGUACUCUUAUAAGAAGAAACUAAAGAGUACUUGCUGUCUCUCCCUCCACACACAGAGCAAGAACAGGUUAUGAGAGUACACAGCAAGAGGCAGCCAGCCACCUGCAAGCGAAGAGGCCUCCGAAUGAAAUCUGCCUUGCUGGCACCUCAAUCUUGGACUUCUCAGCCUCCAGAACUGUGAAAAAUCAAGUUCUGCUGCUGAAGCCACUCACCCGGGACAGCUCAAUCCAACAAAGACCAGUGGUAAUCUUCAUCAACAUGGGCAUCAUCCUCAGGGAUCCAGGUAAUCUUCAUCAACAUGGGCAUCACCCUCAGGGAUCCAGGUAAUCUUCAUCAACAUGGGCAUCACCCUCAGGGAUCCAGGUAAUCUUCAUCAACAUGGGCAUCACCCUCAGGGAUCCAGGUAAUCUUCAUCAACAUGGGCAUCACCCUCAGGGAUCCAGGUAAUCUUCAUCAACAUGGGCAUCACCCUCAGGGAUCCAGAUAAUCUUCAACAUGGGCAUCACCCUCAAGGAUCUAGGUAAUCUUCAUCAACAUGGGCAUCACCCUCAGGGAUCCAGGUAAUCUUCAUCAACAUGGGCAUCACCCUCAGGGAUCCAGGUAAUCUUCAUCAACCUGGGCAUCACCCUCAGGGAUCCAGGUAAUCUUCAACAUGGGCAUCACCCUCAGGGAUCCAGAUAAUCUUCAACAUGGGCAUCUCCCUCAAGGAUCCAGGUAAUCUUCAUCAACAUGGGCAUCACCCUCAGGGAUCCAGGUAAUCUUCAACAUGGGCAUCACCCUCAGGGAUCCAGGUAAUCUUCAUCAACAUGGGCAUCACCCUCAGGGAUCCAGGUAAUCUUCAUCAACAUGGGCAUCACCCUCUGUGAUCCAGGUAAUCUUCAUCAACAUGGGUAUCACCCUCAGUGAUCUAGGUAAUCAUCAACAUGGGCAUCACCCUCAGGGAUCCAGGUAAUCUUCAUCAACAUGGGCAUCACCCUCACCAAUGUGGCAUCAUUCAAUCUGUUGAGAGACUGGUAGAAUAAGACAGAGGAAAGGCAAAUUUGAUCUCACAGUUUGAGCUGUGCCAUCCAAUUUCUCCCACCCUCAGACACAGGUGCUCGUAGUUCGUGGGCCUCUGGACUCAAACCAGGACUUACACCAUCAGUUUUCCUAGUUCCCAGGCCUUUGUACUCAGACUGAAUUAUAGCACUGGCUUUUCUGGGCCUCCAGCUUGUAGAUGUCAAGUUGAGGAACUUCUCAGCCUUCAUAAUUGCAAGAACCAAUCCUUCAUAAUAAAUCUCUCUAGAUAUCUCUAUAUAUCCUAUUG